GACGAACGCUGGCGGCGUGCUUAACACAUGCAAGUCGAACGGUAAGGCCCUUCGGGGUACACGAGUGGCGAACGGGUGAGUAACACGUGGGUGAUCUGCCCUGCACUUCGGGAUAAGCCUGGGAAACUGGGUCUAAUACCGGAUAGGACCACUGCCUGCAUGGGUGGUGGUGGAAAGCUUUUGCGGUGUGGGAUGGGCCCGCGGCCUAUCAGCUUGUUGGUGGGGUGAUGGCCUACCAAGGCGACGACGGGUAGCCGGCCUGAGAGGGUGACAGGCCACACUGGGACUGAGAUACGGCCCAGACUCCUACGGGAGGCAGCAGUGGGGAAUAUUGCACAAUGGGCGCAGGCCUGAUGCAGCGACGCCGCGUGAGGGAUGACGGCCUUCGGGUUGUAAACCUCUUUCAGCACCGACGAAGCGCAAGUGACGGUAGGUGCAGAAGAAGGACCGGCCAACUACGUGCCAGCAGCCGCCGUAA
rnacentral:rRNA from 1 species